rnacentral:rRNA from 1 species
GAUGAACGCUGGCGGCGUGCCUAACACAUGCAAGUCGAGCGAACAGACGAGGAGCUUGUUCCUCUGACGUUAGCGGCGGGCGGGUGAGUAACACGUGGAUAACCUACCUAUAAUACUGGGAUAACUUCGGGAAACCGGAGCUAAUACCGGAUAAUAUAUUGAACCGCAUGGUUCAAUAGUGAAUGACGGUUUUGCGGGCUCUUCUAGCUGGUUCCGCGCUGCAUGAGCUAGUUGGUAGGGUAACGGCUUAUCAAGGCGACGAUGCGUAUCCGAACUGAUAGAGUGAUCGGCGACACUGGAGCUGAGACACGGACCAGAGUCCUACGGGAGGCAGCAGUAGGGAACGGGAGGCAAUGGGCGAAAGCCUGACGCAGCAAGGCCGCGUGAGUGAUGAAGACCUUCGGUUCGUAAAGCUCUGUUAUGAGGGAAGAACAAAUGUGGCCGUAGAUAAGGCCGUAUUGACGGUACCUAAUAAGAAAGCACCGGCUAACUACGUG